rnacentral:rRNA from 1 species
AUUGAACGCUGGCGGAAUGCUUUACACAUGCAAGUCGAACGGCAGCACGGACUUCGGUCUGGUGGCGAGUGGCGAACGGGUGAGUAAUGUAUCGGAACGUGCCCAGUCGUGGGGGAUAACGUAGUGAAAAUUACGCUAAUACCGCAUACGAUCUAUGGAUGAAAGCGGGGGAUCGCAAGACCUCGCGCGAUUGGAGCGUCCGAUAUCAGAUUAGGUAGUUGGUGGGGUAAAGGCCCACCAAGGCAACGAUCUGUAGCUGGUCUGAGAGGACGACCAGCCACACUGGAACUGAGACGCGGUCCAGACUCCUACGGGAGGCAGCAGUGGGGAAUUUUGGACAAUGGGCGAAAGCCUGAUCCAGCCAUUCCGCGUGCAGGAUGAAGGCCCUCGGGUUGUAAACUGCUUUUGUACAGAACGAAAAGGUUUCUACUAAUACUAGGAGCUCAUGACGGUACUGUAAGAAUAAGCACCGGCUAACUACGUGCCAGCAGCCGCCGCAG